GCCGCGCGCGCCCUGCUUUGCGGAGAUAGCUAGAGCGACCCAAGGACCCUCCGACCUGGUCUGAGCCGCGCGAGUGCAACGGCGCAGCCGCCGCCCCGCCCACCCCUGGCCUGGGCGGACCCGGAGAGCAGGCUGGAAGCGGAGGCGCCCUGGGCUCAGGGAGUUGGACGUGAGGGACGCCGAGGCUGCCAUCGCUCCUUAGGUUUCGCCUGCCAGGGCGCCCAGUAAAGAGUUGCAGUAGAAGCAGACGGCGUGAAUGACAGAUGCUUGGCGAUACUGCAUUUGGUGCUGAUUUGGCGUCAACAAUGAGCCUUUUCUUUGGCCGUAAAUAGAAAAAUGUGGGUGUGGACAUAAUGAAGCAAUUGUAUGGCUGGAAAUUAGAUACUUAGAAUUCUCUGGGCACAUAUCAAGAGACUAGCUGUUUCUUUGAAUAAAUAUCAUGGCAAUAAAAGGACACAAAGGCCAAAAAGCUGAGCCUACCUGACCUCUGCCUUACAUAGAAAUGAUUGUGACCUUUGGAUGUUGGAAAAUGAAAAACUUUGGCAGCACAUCCAUGAUAUUGUGGUAAUACAGCCACCUGCUCAGUGAGGAUGACUUUGAUACCUGUUGUCUUUGGGGAGAGUUAUACUCAGUCCGGGGUCUAGGUGGAAGCCAGGACAUCUUAUGGUGAAGUACCUAUUAGCUGAAACAUGGCAAAAUUCUGACACUGUCGACCGUGGACUAGCGGCUUUCUCACUCCCAGCUCCGCAGAGAUACUCCAUUUGAGUGAAACCUGCACGGCCCUGUAGCCUAAGCCAGCAACCAAAAGGGGAAUGCCGGAUUUCAAAAGCAAUAAAAGAAAACAAAAACAGACAGAGAACAGGUCUGUUUCCUAGGACACAUCAACCUUACACCACGUUGCCAGAGUCACAUUUUAUUGAAGAUGACAAACAGAUGAAAUCCCGCCAUUGCUGAUGGAAGACGUC